rnacentral:rRNA from 1 species
AUGGGAGGCCAAAAGGGUCUUGCUGCGAUCAUGGUGGGUGUGCUCCUCAUACUGGGGCUGGCCACUGCGGCGAUGAGCUCCUCGGAGAAGGUGGCCACGGGCGGGAAGACGUCGUGGCCGGAGGUGGUGGGGCUGAGCGCGGAGGAGGCCAAGAAGAUCAUCCUCAAGGACAAGCCCGAUGCCGACAUCGUCGUCCUCCCCGCCGGCUCGAUGGUCACCAUGGACUACAAUCCCCGGCGCGUCCGCGUCUUCGUCGACACCGUCGAUGAGACCCCCUACGCAGGCUAG